ACGGGUGAGUAACGCGUGGGAACAUACCCUUUUCUACGGAAUAGCUCUGGGAAACUGGAAUUAAUACCGUAUACGCCCUACGGGGGAAAGAUUUAUCGGGGAAGGAUUGGCCCGCGUUGGAUUAGCUAGUUGGUGGGGUAGAGGCCUACCAAGGCGACGAUCCAUAGCUGGUCUGAGAGGAUGAUCAGCCACAUUGGGACUGAGACACGGCCCAAACUCCUACGGGAGGCAGCAGUGGGGAAUAUUGGACAAUGGGCGCAAGCCUGAUCCAGCCAUGCCGCGUGAGUGAUGAAGGCCUUAGGGUUGUAAAGCUCUUUCACCGAUGAAGAUAAUGACGGUAGUCGGAGAAGAAGCCCCGGCUAACUUCGUGCCAGCAGCCGCGGUAAUACGAAGGGGGCUAGCGUUGUUCGGAAUUACUGGGCGUAAAGCGCACGUAGGCGGAUAUUUAAGUCAGGGGUGAGAUCCCAGAGCUCAACUCUGGAACUGCCUUUGAUACUGGGUAUCUUGAGUAUGGAAGAGGUAAGUGGAAUUGCGAGUGUAGAGGUGAAAUUCGUAGA
rnacentral:rRNA from 1 species